rnacentral:rRNA from 1 species
AUUGAACGCUGGCGGUAGGCUUAACACAUGCAAGUCGUGCGAGAAAGUAUCUUCGGAUAUGAGUAGAGCGGCGGACGGGUGAGUAACGCGUAGGAAUCUACCUAGUAGAAGGGGAUAGCCCGGGGAAACUCGGAUUAAUACCGUAUACCUCCUUCGGGAGAAAGAAGGCCUCUCUUUGAAGCUUUCGCUACUAGAUGAGCCUGCGUAAGAUUAGCUUGUUGGUGAGGUAAAGGCUCACCAAGGCUACGAUCUUUAGCUGGUCUGAGAGGACGAUCAGCCACAUUGGGACUGAGACACGGCCCAGACUCCUACGGGAGGCAGCAGUGGGGAAUAUUGGACAAUGGGCGCAAGCCUGAUCCAGCCAUACCGCGUGUGUGAAGAAGGCCUUCGGGUUGUAAAGCACUUUAAGCAGGGAGAAAAAGUUAUAGGUUAAUACCCUAUGACCCUGAUGUUACCUGCAGAAUAAGCACCGGCUAAUUCCGUGCCAGCAGCCGCGGUAAUACGGAAGGUGCAAGCGUUAAUCGGAAUUACUGGGCGUAAAGCGCGCGUAGGUGGUUUGUUAAGUUGGAUGUGAAAGCCCUGGGCUCAACCUAGGAACUGCAUCCAAAACUAACUCACUAGAGUACGAUAGAGGGAGGUAGAAUUCAUAGUGUAGCGGUGGAAUGCGUAGAUAUUAUGAAGAAUACCAGUGGCGAAGGCGGCCUCCCGGAUCUGUACUGACACUGAGGUGCGAAAGCGUGGGUAGCGAACAGGAUUAGAUACCCUGGUAGUCCACGCCCUAAA